UACGAAGGGGGCUAGCGUUGCUCGGAAUGACUGGGCGUAAAGGGCGCGUAGGCGGCUGGUACAGUCAGAUGUGAAAUUCCUGGGCUCAACCUGGGGGCUGCAUUUGAUACGUGCUGUCUUGAGUUCGGAAGAGGGUCGUGGAAUUCCCAGUGUAGCGGUGAAAUGCGCAGAUAUCGGGAAGAACACCCGUGGCGAAGGCGGCUCUCUGGGACGGUACUGACGCUGAGACGCGAAAGCGUGGGGAGCGAACAGG
rnacentral:rRNA from 1 species